rnacentral:rRNA from 1 species
UACGGAGGGUGCGAGCGUUGUCCGGAAUCAUUGGGCGUAAAGGGCGCGUAGGUGGCGGGACAAGCGUGCGGUGAAAGCUCGGGGCUCAACCCCGAGUCGGCCGUGCGAACUGUUUUGCUUGAGCACUGUAGAGGCAGGCGGAAUUCCGGGUGUAGCGGUGGAAUGCGUAGAGAUCCGGAAGAACACCGGUGGCGAAGGCGGCUCGCUGGGACGGUACUGACGCUGAGGUGCGAAAGCGUGGGGAGCGAACAGG